rfam:Medicago truncatula strain A17 chromosome 5, whole genome shotgun sequence.
UUGUAGUGUGACAUGCCCGUUUUUGGGAUUUACUCUGAUGUUAUUUAUUAUUAAAUUGAUUUUGGAAAACGGGGUGUUACAAUGACA